AAGUCGUAACAAGGUUUCCGUAGGUGAACCUGCGGAAGGAUCAUUAAUCGAACCAACAUGUUUCUCAGCAUGAUAUUUCAAACCCCACCUGUGUACCUUACCUGUUGCUUCCGUGCUGCGCAUGCUGCAAACGUGUGCCUUGCGGUCCGGAGUACCUAUUGCUCCUAUGGCCCGUGGGAGCCGGCACGGGAGGUAACCCACAAACUCUUGCCCUUGAAUGCCUUCCGUCUGAACUGUAGUACAUGAAAAGUUAAAACUUUCAACAACGGAUCUCUUGGUUCUCGCAUCGAUGAAGAACGCAGCGAAAUGCGAUAAGUAGUGUGAAUUGCAGAAUUCCGUGGAUCAUCGAAUCUUUGAACGCACAUUGCGCCUCCUGGUAAUCCGUGAGGCAUGCCUGUUCGAGCGUCACUAAAAUCAAAUCAACCACCACCCCAUGUGCUUGGUCAUGGAGGAAGAGUCCGUCUUGUUGCGGUCUCCCCUCCCAAAAUCAACGGCGGAAAGUCGCUGGCACUCGGCGUAGGAGUAUUAUUCGCCGAUUACCCAGUGUCGUUCCUGCCACCAAAUGCCCACGAUUCUCUUGAUUGACCUCGGAUCAGGUAGGGAUACCCGCUGAACUUAAGCAUAUCAAUAAGCGGAGGAAAAGAAACCAACAGGGAUUGCCUUAGUAACUGCGAGUGAAGCGGCAAAAGCUCAAAUUUGAAAUCGGUGUCUAUCUAAGGCGUCGAGUUGUAAUUUGGAGGGACAACUUCGGGCUGAACCACAUCGUAAGUUCCUUGGAACAGGACGUCAUAGAGGGUGAGAAUCCCGUGUCUCGAUGUCGGGUCAAACCAUGUGAAGUGUCUCCGACGAGUCGAGUUGUUUGGGAAUGCAGCUCAAAAUGGGUGGUAAAUUUCAUCUAAAGCUAAAUAUUGGCGAGAGACCGAUAGCGCACAAGUAGAGUGAUCGAAAGAUGAAAAGCACUUUGAAAAGAGAGUCAAAAAGUACGUGAAAUUGUUGAAAGGGAAGCGCUUGCGACCAGACUCGAUCUUUGGUGAUCGGCCGGGCUUCGGUUCGGUGCCUCUCACCAUUGAUUGGGCCAGCAUCGGUUCCGACGGUGGGAUAAAAGGAGGAGGAAUGUGGCUCCCUUUGGGGAGUGUUAUAGCCACCUUCAAAAUGCCGCCAGUCGGGACCGAGGACCGCGCUUCGGCUAGGAUGCUGGUGUAAUGGUCUUAAGCGACC
rnacentral:rRNA from 1 species